AUUGAACGCUGGCGGCAUGCUUUACACAUGCAAGUCGAACGGUAACAGGCCGCAAGGUGCUGACGAGUGGCGAACGGGUGAGUAAUGCAUCGGAACGUGCCCAGUCGUGGGGGAUAACUAUCCGAAAGGAUAGCUAAUACCGCAUACGAUCUGCGGAUGAAAGCGGGGGACCUUCGGGCCUCGCGCGAUUGGAGCGGCCGAUGUCAGAUUAGGUAGUUGGUGGGGUACAGGCUCACCAAGCCAACGAUCUGUAGCUGGUCUGAGAGGACGACCAGCCACACUGGGACUGAGACACGGCCCAGACUCCUACGGGAGGCAGCAGUGGGGAAUGUUGGACAAUGGGCGCAAGCCUGAUCCAGCAAUGCCGCGUGCAGGAAGAAGGCCUUCGGGUUGUAAACUGCUUUUGUACGGAACGAAACGGCUCUGGUUAAUACCUGGGGCUAAUGACGGUACCGUAAGAAUAAGCACCGGCUAACUACGUGCCAGCCGCCGCAGUAA
rnacentral:rRNA from 1 species